CAAUAGCGUAUAUUAAAGUUGUUGCAGUUAAAAAGCUCGUAGUUGGAUUUGUGGCGUACGGUGUGUUCCGGGCACUUGUUGUCUGAGUAACCUGCUGUUGCCAUCCUUGGGUGGAACCUGUGUGGCAUUAGGUUGUCGUGCAGGGGAUGCCCAUCAUUUACUGUGAAAAAAUUAGAGUGUUCAAAGCAGGCUUAUGCCGUUGAAUAUAUUAGCAUGGAAUAAUGGGAUAGGACUUUUUUGCUAUUUUGUUGGUUUGCGCAAAGAGGUAAUGAUUAAUAGGGACAGUUGGGGAUAUUCGUAUUCCAUUGUCAGAGGUGAAAUUCUUGGAUUUUUGGAAGACGAACUACUGCGAAAGCAUUUACCAAGGAUGUUUUCAUUAA
rnacentral:rRNA from 1 species